CGCAAGGCGGCGCUCAACCCUCCGUCUCCAGGUUCAGCUGCGGCCGUGACGUAUUUAAGCGGCGCAGAGACGUUUCUUCGGUCAUUUCUACCGCAGGCGCAGCAGAGAAGAAGGAUUGAGAUGUUCUGUUGGAGCAGCAGCUCAGACCAGGGUCCUAUUGGUCGACACAGAAAAUGGCCCUCACAGCCACCAUGGAGAUGCUGCUGAGCUGUACUACAAUGAAGACUGAGAUAUUAAGAAGGAAAACGAGAAUCUGCUCAGGAAUGACCUGCCUUCAAGUCAAAGCGGCUACGCUGGAGCCCUCCAGGUGAAGAGGCCUUCUGGAGGAAGAGCUUUCAGUUUCAGAGAUGUACAGGUUGGUGUCUGACUCUUAAUGGUUUUUAAAAUGAACUCUCGGUGAAGUGAUUGACUGUUCGCUAUGAUGACGCUUACUCCACCCAUUCGCAGUUUCCACCAGAGGUCUAAAGACCAAAGAUGGUUCAUGUCUUCCUUGGAUGUCUGAGCGAAUGUUGUCAAGCAAACUAUUACUGUCCUAAAAAUGUUGUCAAGAAGUCUUAAGCAGUGCCGCCAUGUUUUAAAUGCGCUUCCAUGGUUCUGUUGUUGGGGGCAGCAGGGUGAAGAUCUUUGAGACCCAACACCGUUUGAAUUUCCUUUAGUUGAAUCUGCCAAACAGCAGUGGACAUGAUGCCAACUAUCAACGAAUUACAGAUUUCUUC